rnacentral:rRNA from 1 species
AUACGUAGGGUGCGAGCGUUAAUCGGAAUUACUGGGCGUAAAGGGUGCGCAGGCGGUCUUGCAAGUCAGAUGUGAAAGCCCCGGGCUUAACCUGGGAAUUGCGUUUGAAACUACAAGGCUAGAGUGCAGCAGAGGGGAGUGGAAUUCCAUGUGUAGCAGUGAAAUGCGUAGAGAUGUGGAAGAACACCGAUGGCGAAGGCAGCUCCCUGGGUUGACACUGACGCUCAUGCACGAAAGCGUGGGGAGCAAACAGGAUUAGAUACCCUGGUAGUCCACGCCCUAAACGAUGUCAACUAGUUGUCGGAUCUAAUUAAGGAUUUGGUAACGUAGCUAACGCGUGAAGUUGACCGCCUGGGGAGUACGGUCGCAAGAUUAAA